rnacentral:rRNA from 1 species
UACGGGGGGGGGCAAGCGUUGUUCGGAAUUACUGGGCGUAAAGGGCUCGUAGGUGGCCAACUAAGUCGGACGUGAAAUCCCUCGGCUUAACCGGGGAACUGCAUCUGAUACUGGAUGGCUUGAGUUCGGGAGAGGGAUGCGGAAUUCCAGGUGUAGCGGUGAAAUGCGUAGAUAUCUGGAGGAACACCGGUGGCGAAGGCGGCAUCCUGGACCGACACUGACGCUGAGGAGCGAAAGCCAGGGGAGCAAACGGG